rnacentral:lncRNA from 1 species
AAAACUCUCUCUGUAACUUCAGAUAUAAAACUUCAAAAUCUCAGAUUACAAUCUCCUUCUAGUUCUUAGUAUUAAAAACAAAACCCAAAAACAACAAAAAUAAGAGAAAAACCAAAUAAAAAAACUACCGUUUCAUCAAAAUUCUAGGUGGAUUUUAACUUUAGCUCUUGAUUUACAUUUUUUCCAGUUUAGUUUCUGAUAAUUUGAAGUUCCAGUGGUGAUGUUUGGUUGAUUUCGAGUGAGUUUGGGCUAGAUAAGUUGGUUUUAGGUUGAUUGGUGGCUUGUUAAGAGUUUCAGAAUAAUUUUAGUUCAAUUUCGAGUCUAUUUGGGUGCUUCAAUGGUAGAUUUGUUGCUGUGAUUCAUCUAUCCUUGGAUUUUUAAAUUUGCUUCUGAAUUUGCUGGGUCAACUGAUCAAUAUUGGGUUUUGGAACUUUCCUGGUUUGCUGAUUCCCUUUUCUGAGUUUGCUUACUGCUGCUGACUGCUCGUUCCUUUGUUCUAUUCCAAAAAUCAGGUACACAUUUGGAACUUAUGUAACUCAUCCAUGUAAUGAAAGUACAUUUGCUUCCUG